UACGGGGGGGCGGAAGCGUUGUUCGGAAUUACUGGGCGUAAAGGGCUCGUAGGCGGCCAACUAAGUCGGACGUGAAAUCCCCAGGCUCAACCUGGGAACUGCGUCCGAUACUGGAUGGCUUGAAUCCGGGAGAGGGAUGCAGAAUUCCAGGUGUAGCGGUGAAAUGCGUAGAUAUCUGGAGGAAUACCGGUGGCGAAGGCGGCAUCCUGGACCGGCAUUGACGCUGAGGAGCGAAAGCCAGGGGAGCAAACGGG
rnacentral:rRNA from 1 species